CAUUAGGGUUUAUUACUGAUGGGAACUCCUUUCUUCUGGGUGAUGUUCUGCUUCAUCAGAUUCGCAUUCCUGGUGCCACACUCCUUCUAACUACAGUGUCUCUCCAAGAACAGGCGAAGCGUCUCACCAAGAUCAGGAUGAUACAGAGAACCAUGGGGUUGACUCGGGGGCCCCCUGAUGCAAACAACACAAAAACAGGCUGCCUUUGGCAUGAUCAGAAUCCAGAGAUGGUGGGUGGCCAUCCCAUCAAGGGGAAUUUGCCACUUACUCAGGAGGAGGAUACGCUGUGAGACUUGGAAGAAACUCCAGUCCUGCAGUCAGUCUUACAUUCGUGUUAACACGAGUGAAAGGUGGGACGUUAGAAAUCCUACUUUGCAGGCGGACGAGAUGGGGAAACGCAGCUUCUCACGUCACCUCCUCGGUGGCGGGAGGCCGAGGCCUUUUCCUCCCCUGCCGGAGAAGGCGGCUGGCCUGUCCCUGGCGUCUUCCCUGAGUUCCGCAGCCGCGUGAGCAGAGCCGCUGGCUAGAGCGCUGCACCGAAAGCCUCUUUGCGGAAUUUGCGGUCCUCACUUUCCAGCGUGAACCUGUUCUGUGGAGAGACCCUGACUUUGGAGUCCAGCAAGGUGCUUUCUCCACCUCGGUGAGACUGGACAUUUUAACUUGUCUUCGGACAUCAAAGGACCUUGCCUGGUCUAUCAUCUCGCUCAUGUGCUUCUGUGAGGCAAGAAACGUGAACUUAGCUGUCAUUCACCUCAUGGGCUUCCUGGUUCUAUUGGCAACUGUUCAGCUAUGGAACCUGCUGUGUCAAAUCUCCGGACCGCAAGUCAUUGGCAGAGCUCAUAGCAAAGCCUGGGCCGAGGUGCAGGGCUUCUUGCUGGUCAUCCUGAUGCUGCUGAUCCUUUAGAAGCGGUCACUUCAUGGAAAACCUUUAACCUGCUGUUUGGAUGGAGCAGCUCCAACUACUGGACUUUCUUCAGCUCAGCAGUCACUGUCGUCGGUCCCCUGAUGGGAAUCUCUCAUCAUAAGAAGACUCAGAAGAAAGAAGCUGCACUGGUAGAUAGGCUGCUACAGAAGCUCUCAAGUUUGUUAGGAAUCCAGCACCAGAAUACACGUGAGCAAACAUCUUUACCAGCAAUGGCCAUUGACAAAUGAAGUUUUUACAAGAGGAACUAUUUUAAUCCUGUUACCUUGGCUUAUUACGUCUUAGUAUAUUAAUACUGAUCUUUGCAUGGUGUACUUUAGAAAAUCAUAUAUGUAUAACAUACUUUGUUAAUUUUGUUAGGGAAGAAUCAAAAUCGCCUUGGCUACAAAUUGUUCUUUAUGGAACUUGGUACUGUCAGAAAAGGGUUAAAACUGCAAGAGUGGUAACAGGAUAAACCAGCUCUGCUGCCAAACAGCAAGAGAGCACUGACCACUCAGGUUCCAGGACGACUGUGGAAAACAUGAAUGAGUCAGAAGUAAGCUCACUGCAAUUUACUUAAAGACACAAGCAUGAGAUUAGGCUAAUGGGGAGCCCUGGCACAGAGGUAACCAAGCCAACUCAGAGAUACCACCUGGGCUUAAAUACAGAGAUUGAAAUGGGCUCCUCACUGCUGUAGGCUUCCAUUCACACUACCCAAGGAACCAAAGGUAAGGUUAGCCUGUGC